CCUACGGGAGGCAGCAGUGAGGAAUAUUGGUCAAUGGGCGCGAGCCUGAACCAGCCAAGUAGCGUGAGGGAUGAAGGCCCUAUGGGUUGUAAACUUCUUUUAUAAGGGAAUAAAGUGAGGCACGUGUGCCUUUUUGUAUGUACCUUAUGAAUAAGGAUCGGCUAACUCCGUGCCAGCAGCCGCGGUAAUACGGAGGAUCCGAGCGUUAUCCGGAUUUAUUGGGUUUAAAGGGAGCGUAGGCGGCCUUUUAAGUCAGCUGUGAAAGUCUGUGGCUCAACCGUAGAAUUGCAGUUGAAACUGGGGGGCUUGAGUAUGUGUGAGGUAGGCGGAAUGCGUGGUGUAGCGGUGAAAUGCUUAGAUAUCACGAAGAACCCCGAUUGCGAAGGCAGCCUACCAAACCGUCACUGACGCUGAUGCACGAAAGCGUGGGUAUCGAACAGGAUUAGAUACCCUUGUAGUC
rnacentral:rRNA from 1 species